rnacentral:rRNA from 1 species
UACGUAGGGUGCGAGCGUUGUCCGGAAUUAUUGGGCGUAAAGGGCUCGUAGGCGGUCUGUCGCGUCGGGAGUGAAAACCCAGGGCUCAACCCUGGGCCUGCUUUCGAUACGGGCAGACUAGAGGUAUGCAGGGGAGAAUGGAAUUCCUGGUGUAGCGGUGAAAUGCGCAGAUAUCAGGAGGAACACCAGUGGCGAAGGCGGUUCUCUGGGCAUUACCUGACGCUGAGGAGCGAAAGUGUGGGGAGCGAACAGG